GACGAACGCUGGCGGCGUGCUUAACACAUGCAAGUCGAACGGAAAGGCCCUGCUUUUGUGGGGUGCUCGAGUGGCGAACGGGUGAGUAACACGUGAGUAACCUGCCCUUGACUUUGGGAUAACUUCAGGAAACUGGGGCUAAUACCGGAUAGGAGCUCCUGCUGCAUGGUGGGGGUUGGAAAGUUUCGGCGGUUGGGGAUGGACUCGCGGCUUAUCAGCUUGUUGGUGGGGUAGUGGCUUACCAAGGCUUUGACGGGUAGCCGGCCUGAGAGGGUGACCGGCCCCAUUGGGACUGCGCUACGGCCCAGACUCCAACGGAAGGCAGCAGUGGGAAAUAUUGCACAAUGGGCGGAAGCCUGUUGCAGCAACGCCGCGUGCGGGAUGACGGCCUUCGGGUUGUAAACCGCUUUCGCCUGUGACGAAGCGUGAGUGACGGUAAUGGGUAAAGAAGCACCGGCUAACUACGUG
rnacentral:rRNA from 1 species